GAUGAAGAACGCAGCGAAAUGCGAUAAGUAAUGUGAAUUGCAGAAUUCAGUGAAUCAUCGAAUCUUUGAACGCACCUUGCACCCUUUGGCAUUCCGAAGGGUAUGCUCGUUUGAGUGUCAUUGUACUCUCACACUCUCCGAUCCUAUGGAUUCGGGGAGCGGUGGACUUGGGUGUUGCUGCCUUUCCUUGUGGCUCACCUCAAAUGUGUCAGUGCCCCUCUUGGUUGGACAUAGUACGGCGUGAUAAGUGUCUUCGCCGGCACCUCGCAAGAGGGUGGCCGAUCGGGAGCUCUGUGCUUUCAAACCGUCUUCGGACAAUUUCUGACAACUUGACCUCAAAUCGAGUAGGACUACCCGCUGAACUUAAGCAUAUCAAUAAGCGGAGGA
rnacentral:misc_RNA from 1 species